GAUGAAGAACGUAGCGAAAUGCGAUAAGUAAUGUGAAUUGCAGAAUUCAGUGAAUCAUCGAAUCUUUGAACGCACAUUGCGCCCGCCAGUAUUCUGGCGGGCAUGCCUGUUCGAGCGUCAUUGCAACCCUCAGGCCCCCGGGCCUGGCGUUGGGGAUCGGCGGAAGCCCCCUGCGGGCACAACGCCGUCCCCCAAAUACAGUGGCGGUCCCGCCGCAGCUUCCAUUGCGUAGUAGCUAACACCUCGCAACUGGAGAGCGGCGCGGCCACGCCGUAAAACACCCAACUUCUGAAUGUUGACCUCGAAUCAGGUAGGAAUACCCGCUGAACUUAAGCAUAUCAAUAAGCGGAGGA
rnacentral:misc_RNA from 1 species